rnacentral:rRNA from 1 species
UGGGGAAUAUUGGACAAUGGGCGAAAGCCUGAUCCAGCAAUGCCGCGUGAGUGAUGAAGGCCUUAGGGUUGUAAAGCUCUUUCGCACGCGACGAUGAUGACGGUAGCGUGAGAAGAAGCCCCGGCUAACUUCGUGCCAGCAGCCGCGGUAAUACGAAGGGGGCUAGCGUUGUUCGGAAUUACUGGGCGUAAAGGGCGCGUAGGCGGCGAUUAUAGUUAGGCGUGAAAGCCCUGGGCUCAACCUGGGAAUUGCGCUUAAUACUGGAUCGCUAGAGUUCGGGAGAGGAUAGUGGAAUUCCCAGUGUAGAGGUGAAAUUCGUAGAUAUUGGGAAGAACACCGGUGGCGAAGGCGGCUAUCUGGACCGACACUGACGCUGAGGCGCGAAAGCGUGGGGAGCAAACAGGAUUAGAUACCCCCGUAGUCC